rnacentral:rRNA from 1 species
UACCAGCACCCCGAGUGGUCGGGACGUUUAUUGGGCCUAAAGCAUCCGUAGCCGGUUCUGCAAGUCUUCCGUUAAAUCCACCUGCUUAACAGAUGGGCCGCGGAAGAUACUAUAGAGCUAGGAGGCGGGAGAGGCAAGCGGUACUCGAUGGGUAGGGGUAAAAUCCAUUGAUCUACUGAAGACCACCAGUGGCGAAGGCGGUUUGCCAGAACGCGCUCGACGGUGAGGGAUGAAAGCUGGGGGAGCAAACCGG